rnacentral:lncRNA from 1 species
UUUUUGUGAUUAACGUUGGUAAUUUUUUAAAAGUGCAUUUUGAAAUGAAAUAUAUUGAGCUGGAAAGUUUAAAGUUUUCAUUCAUUAAAUGUAAGCUAUCCACUUUCUUAAUGAAUUAUCGUUAAUGAAAAAUUCAUUACAACUUUGUAAAUAAUUUCAGUCAAGUUGUGUUCAUUCUUCAAUAGAAACAAAGUUUUCAGUAGAAACAAAGUGCUCCAAAACAGCACUCUCUCCAUGUUUUCACAUGUGGUAAUUGUGACAACCCUUUAUUAAUAGCUUUCAUGAAAACUAUUUCAAGUAAUUAGCUCUCCAGCUAUUCUGUCAGUCAGUCUGUCAGUACCAGAGUUUAUGACACCAGCAUAGAUAGCAAUAAUAAGCAAAACUGACAAAGAUGUACUUUGAUCUUCUGCAUUGUUGGUAAAAAAUGUAAAUGUUCAAUUUGCACAAAGAAUAUAAGCAGCAAUAGACGAUAAUUAGAUUUUUGCCUCAAACUGUUCACCUUUUAUUCAAAUGUAAUGACAACUAAUUUGGCAUCAAGGCAGAAUAAACACUUUACUUUUGGAGAGCACCAUAUGGAUUUUGUAUUCUCAUAGGACAGGGGAAUGGCUAGAAGUAUAUCUCCAAGGUCACAUGUACUUCCAUAAACACUACAUUGCCAUGUUUCAGGGGAAUGAGUACAAGAGCCCAGCUAAUUAAAUAAAACAAAUGAAUCCAUAAAUGAAACAUUAAGUGCAUACAAGUGGAUCGACUUUGCCAGAUGCUGAAUAAUUUUCAUCAUCAACAACAUGAUCGGUUUCAAAAAUCAUUUCAGUUUGCAACUACGAUUUUAAAAUUAGAAUCCAGAAGACUAAGCCCAGAAUAUUCUCUGCACUCUAAAUUUGCUUUUGCCUUAUGGAAAUAAAAAUAUUUAAGAAACUACCCAACAUUAUAUUAUGCACAUCAAAAAAGCUCUCCACAUGGCAGAAGCCAUCCCUCAUGCCCUUUUCACCAAAAUAUAGACACCAACUCAUGAAACAAAAGCUUGAGAAUAUCUGAAGUCACUUAUUUACUUAUUUUGUGCUCCUCCUCUCAGAACCUCAAUUUUAGCAAUGGCAGCCAAUGGAGGCAAUGUCUUCCACUCAAGUAGAAUAACAUUCAGAGGACAACUGGAGUAUCACGGGAGAAAAAUUAUUUAAUCGCAAAUGCAGAAGUAACAGAAAUAGCAACAAGUGUAAGAUCAACUAAUGACUAAUAGAAUUUCU